ACGGAAGGCAGCAGUAGGGAAUCUUCGGCAAUGGGGGCAACCCUGACCGGGCAACGCCGCGUGAGUGAAGAAGGUUUUCGGAUCGUAAAGCUCUGUUGUAAGAGAAGAACGUGUGUGAGAGUGGAAAGUUCACAUAGUGACGGUAACUUACCAGAAAGGGACGGCUAACUACGUGCCAGCAGCCGCGGUAAUACGUAGGUCCCGAGCGUUGUCCGGAUUUAUUGGGCGUAAAGCGAGCGCAGGCGGUUUAAUAAGUCUGAAGUUAAAGGCAGUGGCUUAACCAUUGUUCGCUUUGGAAACUGUUAGACUUGAGUGCAGAAGGGGAGAGUGGAAUUCCAUGUGUAGCGGUGAAAUGCGUAGAUAUAUGGAGGAACACCGGUGGCGAAAGCGGCUCUCUGGUCUGUAACUGACGCUGAGGCUCGAAAGCGUGGGGAGCAAACAGGAUUAGAUACCCUGGUA
rnacentral:rRNA from 1 species